UACGAAGGGGACUAGCGUUGUUCGGAAUCACUGGGCGUAAAGCGCACGUAGGCGGAUGUGUCAGUCAGGGGUGAAAUCCCGGGGCUCAACCUCGGAACUGCCUUUGAUACAGCACGUCUCGAGUCCGGAAGAGGUGGGUGGAAUUCCUAGUGUAGAGGUGAAAUUCGUAGAUAUUAGGAAGAACACCGGUGGCGAAGGCGGCGACCUGGUCCGAUACUGACGCUGAGGCGCGAAAGCGUGGGGAGCAAACAGG
rnacentral:rRNA from 1 species